rnacentral:lncRNA from 1 species
GAACGGUCAAGUCAAGCACCAUGUCUCUUGUUCUUUGAUUAACUAAAGCUCUGGAGUUUUUGCAGAUUUUCAAAUAAAACUCAGAGAUUCCUUGUAUGACUCUCUCUAGUCUCUCUUUUGUGGUAUUUCUGGAUCCUUACCAAGGCAGUGAUGAUAUAUGCCUUCUCUCAAAGUAUGUGGUAUUUUUGGUAUGAGGCAUAGUGACAUUGCCUUCUGUCUCACCCUACUCUAAUAAGGUUUUGAUAUCUGGAGCUCAUAGGUGGGAGACAGAUAAUACAUACUUACAAGACAUUUAUUGCAUAGUCAAACCAUGGAUCCAGAGAAACAAGUUAAUAAGUCAAAUCAAGAUGUGCAUGUGUGGCGAAUGAAUGGUGUAUGGUGAUGAUGGUGAUAAUGGUGAAAACAAUGGUGAAAGUCUAAUUCUACUUUUGCUCUUUUGAGGGGAUACAUACCUUUCUUGCACUUUGAAGCUUUUUGAGGGGAAUGAGAUGCUCUAUAUUUUCUUUUUCUUUUCUCUCAGGUGGGUAUCUUGUACCCCUAAUUCUACUGUCGGACACUUGUCCAUUUUUACCUCUCGUCUCACCUUUUCUUUUCUUCGAGGUUCCUGGCACUUGCCCCUUUUUAUUUCCUCGUAUUUUUUUUCUCUCUUUUUUUUCAGAGCACUCACCAUCCUAGAAUAAUGUAGCAAGUGGUAGUAACCAAAAUAUCAAGAGCAUUUAUUUCACGGGGAAUAAUAGGGAUAUGAUAUUGUUUUUGGCUAUUCUCUCCUGGAUAGGAGUAGAAUAAUUUUAGGUGAAUCGGGAGAUGGAAAGGAGUGGAUGUAUGUGGAUGCAUACUUCUGGAGUAGAAGAAGCAUGUAUGAGUGAACGUGCAAGUGAAUCUUGAUUUUAACCGCAUGACAAGCUCCUAAGGGUCUACACAGCUUGACCAUACUCAAUGCUUAUAAGCAGUAAAAAGUAAAUGUAUGGUUCAUAGUCUAAUAAGCAUGUACAUAUGACUGUGGUAGGUUUUUAAACUCUCAUCAUACAAGAACUCAUCAUGCAACAUUUUAAAGAUUUUCAAAGAUAAAAUUCUCCAGAAUUCUAGCAUCUCUAGGAACAGAUAAACAGCAGCUCAACCUUCCCAUAUCAUAUCCGUUAACGACUUAGACUUUAGAUCAAAUACUCUUCCCACAAGUUCAGGUUUAGAGCAAAUCAUAAUUCAUAACAGUCAUGCCUAAACUUGAGAGAGAAUUCAAUUUUGAGAACUAGUCAUGGCAGAGUAACUAUUCAUUAUUUCCAUGUGAGAGCUUAUCAUGAGGGUUCAUAGCAAACUUUAUUUAUUUAUUUAUUUAGCAAACUAAGCAAAGAUAUAUAUAUAUAUAUAUAUAUAUAUGAGCAUAAAAUCUUUAUUUGGGUUUUUAUGAUUAUGCAUCUUUUUAUUAUUUGAGUAAAGUAUAAACGCGAGUAGAAACACUUAGCUGGAUAAAUGGGGGUGCUCUCCCCCAAGCUGGAUUUUGACGUAAUUUCUUCUGAUGUAGCUAGCAGGUGGCGGAGAUAUAUUUGAAUGUCUAGCCUUUAUCAUGUUGAGCCUCCUCAAUAAAUGUUACUCUCUUUGGUAGGAUCAUAAAUUUAUUUUUAUAGUUUUAUUAUAAGAUGAAAACAUAUUUAUUUUAUGCCACCAUAGUCAAUAUACCUAUGGGUUUUAAACCACAAGUCUAUUCUCAUGGGGCUUUAGAUUUUAUGAUGCAGUGCAAUGAACAAAUAUUUUUUUUAUUUUCUUUUCUAAAGCUAAUGUGGAAAAGUAAAUAUGCUAAUGCAAGUGAUGGAAUAAAAAGGAAAAGGAAUGCAGAAAAGAUAAAUAUGGAUAAAUACUGAUUUUACCUUUCGGCGAGGGUUCAAUGUUUUAAGUCUUCUGAACAAGACUUCUCACCGUGUUCAUUCUUCAGGUGCGUCACUUGAUUCAGGUGUGGACCUUGAUGUCUGCACCUCUUGAUACGGUGUCACCGAUGUUCUUUGUUUGCCCAGCAGUUCGAAGUGCGGCGUUGGCAGUAUCUUGCUCAGUGUGUUUGUGCUCGUAGAUCCAGGUCUUUCACUUGGUGGAAUCUGGGAGUGUCACACCCAAUUUUAAGGAUAAAAUUGAAUGCAAAACCUUAUGUGUGCCCAGAGAUCAAUCACACAUAAGCCGACAAAUUAUAGGGAGUAUCAUCACAAGUGUUAUUACAUAACGGUAUAACUCAGAGUCUUUACACAAAUAUAGCGGAAAUAAAAGAUAACUCUAGCAUG